rnacentral:lncRNA from 1 species
CACUCGUAAGGAGGUAGUGUAAUGCCCAUUAAUCAAUCUCAAAGAUAAUAGUUAGACUAAUUUAAUCAUAUGUUCAAUGUUUAGAGUCAAAACCAAAAAGGGUUGAAAAUUUUAAUUCAAUAAAAAAUGUUUGUAUACAACAACAAAUGUUGUAUUUACAGAAAUUUUCCAAAACAUUUCGUAGGUAAUAUUUUCCAUACACUUUUAUGUUAUUCUUCCAUUUUAAUUUGAUAAGUAAUAUAUUUGUAUACAUUGUCCUAAUGAUUUUUUUUAACAUCCAUUAUUUUUGAAGAGGUUAAGUAUUGUCCUCAUGAAUUUCUUGAAGAGUGUCUUUUUGAUAAUAUAUAUACUCUUUCAUUUUAGAAGUUAGGCUGGAUUAAAUUAAUUUGUUUUGUAUAAUCUAAUUAAUUUUUGUCAACAAAUAUUUGUUGUUGUUUGUAAUUAUUCCAAUUUACAUUUCAUUAUAAAAUCUAUCUACUUCAAUAUUUUUGAAGUUUUAAAUUAUAUUUCAUUAUACUAACGCACAAAUAUGUUACUAGUUGCUCUUUAAAAAAAUUAAGUAUAAUAACACUACUAAAGGAUGAAAUGAAAAACUUACUUAAAAAAUAAAAGUAUCUAUACACUCUUAGAAAAUAUAUUUUGGGUGAUACAAUAUUACAACAACCACUUUUUUACCAUAGUCAUAUCAUAUUAUCAUAUUUUUUAAGCGCGUAUUUUUUUUAUUAAGAAAUUUUUCAUCACGGUUCCGAAAAAUAAUUAUGGUCAUAGAACUUAUAUAACAAGCUUCGAAUCCCAACAUCAAUAUUUUUCCAUUUUUUCAAUAAAAAUAAGUGCGUGACCCUUAAUAUUUUUUUAUUAUUUUAACAUUGAAAGUAUAAUAACUACGGUUGUUUCAUUCAACUAUGAUUAUAAUUUUCAUAUUUCACUACACUUGUUUCUUGCAACCGUUGUGAAAUUAUUUUCACUUAAUAAAAACAUAAUAGACACUUUAUUUCGUUCAUAACACACAAGGAUACCCUAGCAAACGAGACGAAAGUGAUAGCUAAUCAUUUCUAGAAACGAAUAUCAUUUCUAAAAACAAAAUCUUUAUCCACUUCGACUUACGGUACAUUACCAUUUUGUGUUUGUUGCUCUCUCUCUCUCUCUCUCUCUCUCUCUCUCUCUCUCUCUNGUUUGUUGCUCUCUCUCUCUCUCUCUCUCUCUCUCUCUCUCUCUCUCUCUCUCUCUCGUUGUGGUAAUGAUAUUGCUUUCCGAAAGUUUAUGUUCUUUGCUAGGGUUACAUUUCAUUUCUUGAUAUAUUUUUUAACAUAAUGAUAUUGUGAUGUGUAUUGUUCAUGUUGCCCUGUUCAUGUUUUGUGACUAUAACUUUGUUCAUGUUUUGUGACUAUAACUCUGUUCAUGUUAAAAUUUAUUAUUGGAUUGUUGAUUGUAGUUUUGAUUUUGGUGUUGUUAAAGAAAGUAAAUGGCAACAAACACUAAGAGAAGAAAAUUCUUUUAUUCAUUAAGAAAACAUUACAUUUUGGAUCCUAAAAACAUUAUAUAAUUUUAUUUUUCAUCCCACUCUGAUUCCAUUAAAUCCUCCCUCCUCUUAGACUUUAUCAUUGUUUGUCUCUAUUUUGUCCACUUUGGGACCCAACAGUUGUGCCUACUCCUUCUGAGACUUCCUCAAACUUCUGAACCUUUGAAGCUUCCUCAGAUUUAUGCUUCUCUUCCUUUGCUUUUUUCUUCAUCAUCUUCCUAAUCUCCUUCUCAAAAUCCCUCUUUUUAGCCUUAUAUUGCUUUGAUUUACCCAUUUUAGCUGAAGAGUAAUGUGAUCUGGAUGGUUAUGCAAACAUCUAUUUUUAUAAGAAGAAAUCUUGAAUAACUUAAAAUUUGUCUCGAAGAUUAUGCAUCUUGAGAUUUGUCUUUUAGAAUCUAACUUUGACUAUCUUGAAUAUUGUGGAUAAUUGCUUACCUUUUUCUCCGGCCAUCGAGAUUCCAUGAAUAUUUUAUUUUUGUUUUUACUCAUAUUCUCUCUAUUUUUUUAAUCUUCUGUGUGUGGAUUCUUGUUCUUAAGCAACACAAGUGUCUACUUCAUAUGAAGAACAUCAAGAAGGAAUAUGAGAAAAAUAAAAAGUAAGUAUAUUAUAUUCUUCAUUCAUAAUUUAUUGUAAGUUAUAAUUUCUAAGGUUAUUCACUCACAACUAUUAUUAUUUGAAAUUAUAGGUGUCUAAAGCUAAAACACCAAGAAACAAGACACCAAGACAACAAGAUAAUAUUAUUUAUUAUAAUGAUGUGUACAUUGUAGGUUAUUUUUUGCUAUUUUGAUUUUGAUGUACUAUACAAUUUUUGGUUUCUAAUGAAAUUGUGUCUAGUCUGAUAUCAUUCACAAAUAUUAAGGUUUAAAAUUUGAGAAUACUGUAAACUUGAAAAAUAUAUAUAAAAAAAUAUAUCACAACAGGUUUUAACUCAA